CAACCACAAAACGCGUAUACGAAACACGAAGAGGCCUCUGAAGGUGCGUGUUUCGAUUGGCGAAUCUCUCUCUCUCUCUCUCUCUUCGAUCUCGGUCGUCGCUACUCAGAUUCUUUCUUUCUUUUCUCACCGGUAAGGCCUUUCGAUUACCUGUGAAUUUCUCAGGGCGACGCUACCAAAUAAAAGCACGGUAUUGAUUUCUAGGGUUUCGUUCGUGACCUGAUUCGUUAGCUGAAAUCUCCGAUUUUGUCUGCCUAAAUCUGAUAUUUGUUACUGAAUUUCACGAAUUAUUGAUAGUGUUUGUACUAAUUUUCAUAUACAGUCUCUAUUAAAUGCUUUAAAGAAAAGUGAAAGAAAUUUAAUUGUUGCUUUGGGGUUAGGGUUGGUUAGGGUUUGGGUUUCAUAGUUUUAAACUACAUACAAAAAGAAAAAAUUGCUGAUUUUGGGGAUUGGUUGUUUGUAUUCUGGAAUUGUUGAUUUGUGGGGGUUUGGGUUUGGAAACUUGGGAUAUUUUUUUGGCUCUGGUCAGGGUUUGUGUUUCUUAUAUUUUCUGAGUUUGAUUAUUGAUUGAGAAGAGUUCUGGUUGUGAAUCACAUGGCGGCAGGGCGAGUUGAUGUUUCAAGGAGAGUGGAAUUUUAUAGGCAUUCCAAAAGAGAGCGUGAUUAUUACAGGAAUGGUUCCUGUGUUGUGGAAUUCGGUCGGGACCGUGAUCUUGGUGCCAGACACAAGAAUGGAUACCAUUAUUCAUCAAAAGCUCGCGAUUCAGGGUCUAGAAGAGGCGUGUUUGGUGGUAGAACCGAACAGAGAAAGCAUGAUGAGUUGUCUAGAGUUAAUGAAGUCUCAGAUUACGAAGAUAGGGUUCUGCUGCCUCAAGAGAACAAGAGGAAGUUCUCGCCAAUUAUAUGGGAUAGAAAAGAAAAAGAUGUGAGGAUUUCAUCUAAGAACAGAGUUGUUCCAGUUACUCUGCUGUCUCCUCCUUGUCAGUCAGCAUCCAGUACGGAUGGUGUGGCAUUUGAUGAUGCUUCUGAUGUGGGUAUUUUGAAACCUGCUGUCUCAGGAGAUGAUAUUCUGGGAUUGGAGAAUUCGGCAGAUAAGCCUGCUGUGGCAGAUGAGUUGGUGGGUUUUUCUGAGUUCAGUUCUCCAGCGAAUUUGUCUCCUUUGUUGCCUUCAGAGCGAUUUGGGGAUGAUGACUAUGGACAUGACCAUGUGGAAGAUGACGAGUUUGCUCAAGCACGGAAUAUUGCAAUGUCAAGGUGGGCAUCUGAUUGUGAUUCUCCGAGGGUUAAUGAAGAUUUGCCUGACUCGAGGAGGUCGAGUCCUGAGAGUGGGGAGAUUCAAAUAGAAAGCUCAGGAGAGGGAAGGGCUAGGUCAUUUGGCUCUGAUGGAGAAGGUCGCACUGUGGCACAUGUUAGUCGAGAUACAUUUUGUGAAAAUGAGUCUUUAGACGUUGAUUCUAUGGAUGUUGAUUGCAAACAAGAUGCUGGUUUUAACAUGUCAGAUUCAGACUCAGAGGACAAUGGUGUUUCCCUUCAGAUUGAAGAAUCUAGCCUCCGUACCCAAAGAGGCAUAAACAUGCUUCAAGGUUGCAGAAGUGUGUAUGAGUUUGAAAUGCUUAACAAAAUAAACGAAGGCACUUAUGGGAUUGUGUAUAAAGCCAAGGAUAAGAAGACGGGGCAAAUUGUGGCCUUGAAGAAGGUGAAGAUGGGUAUAGAAAAGGAGGGUGGUUUCCCUUUGUCAUCAUUGAGGGAAAUAAAUAUUCUCUCGUCUUUUAAUCACCCUUCUGUCGUUGAUGUUAAAGAAGUUGUCUUGGAUGACUUUGAUACUGUUUUCAUGGUUAUGGAGUACAUGGAAUAUGACCUCAAGUGUCUAUUGGGGGAUAUGAAACAGCCUUUUAGUAUAAGCGAGGUUAAGUGCUUGAUGCUACAGCUUUUGGAGGGUGUCAAGUAUCUUCAUGACAAUUGGGUGCUUCAUAGAGAUUUGAAGACAUCAAACCUUCUUGUGAGCAAGGAGGGUGAGUUGAAAAUAUGCGACUUUGGGUUGUCUCGCCAGUAUGGGAGCCCCUUGAAGCCAUUUACACCUGUUGUGGUCACCCUUUGGUACAGAGCACCGGAACUUCUGCUAGGCACAAAACAGUACUCAACUGCUAUUGAUAUGUGGUCAGUGGGAUGCAUAAUGGCUGAGUUGGUGGGAAAGGAACCACUUUUCAAAGGGAAAAAUGAAGUUGAUCAGCUUGGCAAGAUUUUCCAAAUUCUUGGUGCACCAAAUGAAGAGACUUGGCCUGGAUUAACAAAAUUGCCAGGAGUUAGACCAAAUAUAAAGCAAAUGCAUAAUCUAUUGCGGAAGAAGUUUCCUGCCAGAUCCUUCACAGGAUCUCCAGUUCUUUCUAAUUUGGGAUUUGACUUGUUGAGCAAACUUUUAGCUUAUGAUCCCGAGAAGCGGAUAACAGCAGAGGCUGCUCUCAAUCAUGACUGGUUUCGCGAGGUUCCUCUUCCCAGAUCUGAUUUCAAGCUUAAUUUUCCUGUUUGGCAUGGUCAAGAGAGGUAGCGUAGUUAGCUGGCAGCUUGAUAGUACUUAAUAGAGCAAUUUCUCGCUUUAUGCAAUUGCUUCUUUUUCGACCUAUGUGUCCACCUAAUUGUUUGGCAUCUGCAAGAAUAACAAAGAGUCAGGAUCUUUUAGAGGAGCAGUGAGAAAGGAGCUGCAAUGAACUCGAAUGGUUUACCUGGCCAAGAUUCAUGGAUUGAUGCAGUGGUCUUUGGGAAGGAAUUAAUCACUUGCUGUGGUAACAAAGCUUCGUUCCACAUACAAAGCCGAGGUAUCUUGUCCUGUAACUAUAUCAUAUUCGGGCAAGCAAUUGGCUGGUAUGUUCAUAACUUGCUCUUUCUGGAGUGCUUAUGGCAUACUGUUUGUUUCUAUUUUAGCUGCAGUCUUUACAUUUUUUACUUAUCGUCGAAAGUUUUCCUAAUAAAUUAUCACCGGUUGGAGACACCAUUAUAGAGAAAGUAGUAAAAUAUUCUUCCAGCUUGUUUGAGAUUGCAUUUAGGAUCUUAAAAAAUGAUUUUCGUACAUAAAAAUCUGUGCCAGGCAAAUAUGCGUCGGUUUGGGAAAAAACUUAAAAGCACUUUGUUGACUUGACCAGAAACUGUUUUGGAAAAAUUUGAAAAUGAAAUUUUUUCUAUGGACAAAAGUUUUUAUUUCUCAAUGCAAUUCUAAACAGGUUUAGAAUGCUAAAAGGUGUAUUUUAUCACCUGGAAAGUAAUAUUUCUCUUUGAAGGGAGUCAUCUGAUUGCAGGGAGCAUCCCAAAUUUAUUAUACGUUGAUGGUAAGUUUGUUACUGAAUGGUUUGAUGCCUUUUAAGAAUUGAAUUAAAAUAGCCCAGGCCUUCCCAGCAAACAGUCAUCAUUUCAAGUUGUCACCUAUAAGAUCCUUGCGCAAUCUAACACUUGUCUUUUGCCGUGUUGCGCUGUGUCUAUAGUUUUCCCCAAUCAAAGCCAGCACAUUUUGGGGCCGGCCGAUGAUGAUCAUGAAACGUAGGUCCAAGGUUCCCAGGACUGUGAUGUUAUUAUUGUUGAGAGAGGAAAUGCUUAAAAUUUCCCUGGGAAUUUCGCGGAGAUUGACACUGGAUAAAGAUAAGUUAUGUAUAAUACAAGUUUUGUGAAAAUCCUGAUUUGUGGUUAUUCAAUCAUCUGGCCUAAAAAAUUAUUUCCCUCCGUGAAAUAAAA